rnacentral:rRNA from 1 species
GAUGAACGCUGGCGGCGUGCCUAAUACAUGCAAGUCGAACGCUGGAAAUCUAGCUUGCUAGAUUGAAGGAGUGGCGAACGGGUGAGUAAUACAUAAGCAACCUACCCACGAAGACUGGGAUAAUCUCUGGAAACGGGGACUAAUACCGGAUAGGUAAUCGGAAGGCAUCUUCUGAUUAUUAAAGGUUAAAAACACUGGUGGAUGGGCUUAUGGCGCAUUAGUUAGUUGGUGAGGUAACGGCCCACCAAGACGAUGAUGCGUAGCCGGCCUGAGCGGGUGAACGGCCACAUUGGGACUGAGACACGGCCCAGACUCCUACGGGAGGCAGCAGUAGGGAAUUUUCGGCAAUGGGGGAAACCCUGACCGAGCAACGCCGCGUGAGUGAUGACGGCCUUCGGGUUGUAAAGCUCUGUUGUAAGGGAAGAACGGUAGAUAGAGAAUAUCUAAAUGACGGUACCUUACCAGAAAGCCACGGCUAACUACGUG